rnacentral:rRNA from 1 species
CCUACGGGAGGCAGCAGUGGGGAAUUUUGGACAAUGGGCGCAAGCCUGAUCCAGCAAUGCCGCGUGCAGGAUGAAGGCCUUCGGGUUGUAAACUGCUUUUGUACGGAACGAAACGGUGAGCUCUAAUACAGUUUGCUAAUGACGGUACCGUAAGAAUAAGCACCGGCUAACUACGUGCCAGCAGCCGCGGUAAUACGUAGGGUGCGAGCGUUAAUCGGAAUUACUGGGCGUAAAGCGUGCGCAGGCGGUGAUGUAAGACAGAUGUGAAAUGCCCGGGCUCAACCUGGGACCUGCAUUUGUGACUGCAUCGCUAGAGUACGGUAGAGGGGGAUGGAAUUCCGCGUGUAGCAGUGAAAUGCGUAGAUAUGCGGAGGAACACCGAUGGCGAAGGCAAUCCCCUGGACCUGUACUGACGCUCAUGCACGAAAGCGUGGGGAGCAAACAGGAUUAGAUACCCUGGUAGUCCACGCCCUAAACGAUGUCAACUGGUUGUUGGGUCUUCACUGACUCAGUAACGAAGCUAACGCGUGAAGUUGACCGCCCUGGGGAGUACGGCCGCGAAGGUUGAAACUCAAAUGAAUUGAGGCUUGGAGAGNGCGAGGACGACACGAGGGAGGAG